rnacentral:misc_RNA from 1 species
AAGUCGUAACAAGGUUUCCGUAGGUGAACCUGCGGAAGGAUCAUUAAAAAUAUAGCAAACCAAGCGUUAGCGAGGUUUUGCGAUCAAAAUUGUAUUUAAAACCCAACUCUUUGAAUCAAAUAUAUAUUAUGUAUUUUAAAUAAAUAAAAGAUCACUUUCAACAACGGAUCUCUUGGCUCUC